UGUGCUCUGGAUCAGGGUGUUAUUAGAGCUUCCCUUUCCAUACAGUUUUGGCAACAUCUCACCUUCUGCUUCUUGCUAUUUAUAUUUGAUUUAGUAGAGUGACAUAAAGGUAAAUUGAAUAGGAUUAAAAGCAGGUUGGGAUAUAUUUUCUUUGAAACAUAUGAGAUUUAGCAAACAGUAGGCAGCUAACUUAUUAAAGCAGUUUCUCAGCAUCAACAAUUGCCAUGCAGAGAUAGUGGUUGUGACUGAAGCUUCCCAGUUGAUUUCAGGUGAAAGGAAGGCUCCUAAUGAGCUUGCUACAAUUGAGAAGUUUAAAAGAUGUUCCCAUGUUCUUGAAGGUGAGGCUGCUUUAGUUUAUGCCUUGUUUCAGCACAAUAGUUGUUUCCUCACAGAAAGCAAAUUAUCCACUGUUGAGACAGCAAAGAGCAGAAAGGAGGACUAAAAAAGAGAAACUGGAAUGUCUGGGCAUGGGAAAAAGACAGCAAAGUCAACAAUUGCAGCAAAGCCUGCCCUUCCUUCACAGAAAACCAGGUCAGAUAGAGCUGGUAUCCAGUUCCCAGUGGGCCGUGUUCAUCGGUUCUUGAGGCGGGGUCAGUAUGCUGAACGAAUAGGUGUGGGAGCUGCAGUCUACUUGUCGGCUGUGUUGGAAUAUCUGACUGCUGAGAUAUUGGAACUUGCAGGAAACGCUGCUUCUGAAAACAAGAAGCAACGAAUUGGGCCACGACAUCUUCAGCUGGCCGUGAGGACGGAUGAGGAACUCAGCCGAUUGUUUUCAGGUGUGACCAUUGCUGAGGGAGGGGUUCUUCCCAAUAUACUUCCCCAGCUGCUUCGCAAGAAGUCUGAGUUGCCUAAAGAAGUGGCAGAUGUUCAGUCACAGGAAUUCUAAAACCUUCUGUCUGUCGUAGCUGUCUUACACAAAUAGACACAAAUGAAACAAGUAACAGUUGCAAGAACCCUCAUUUUCAGUGAUGAAUACUCCACCAGCUUGUGUGUAAACUGUCUAAUCUUUAAUUCCCAAUAUGAUUUUUAAAGCUGAAAUAAAAUUAAAUUCUGUAACAUA